rnacentral:rRNA from 1 species
AAUCAACGCUGGCGGCGUGCCUAACACAUAGCAAGUCGAACGAGAAGGUGACUUCGGUCACUGGGAUAGUGGCGUCCGGGUGAGUAACACGUAGGUAAUCUACCUUCGGGUGGGGAAUAACGUCUCGAAAGAGACGCUAAUACCGCAUAAUGCAGCGGCACCUAAUGGUGAUUAGUUGUUAAAGCGGGGGGAUCUUCGGACCUCGCGCCUGAAGAGGAGCCUGCGGCAGAUAGCUAGUUGGUGAGGUAACGGCUUACCAAGGCUACGAUCUGUAACCGGUCUUAGAGGACGGUCGGUCACACUGACACUGAAUAACGGGUCAGACUCCUACGGGAGGCAGCAGUCGGGAAUUUUUGGGCAA